rnacentral:rRNA from 1 species
AAUUUUGGAUAAUGGGCGCAAGCGUGAUCCAGCCAUGCCGCGUGCGUGAAGAAGGNCUNNGGGUUNUNAAGCUCUUUCGGACGNNNNNAAAUCGCGUAGGCUAAUACCCUGCGCGGAUGACGGUACCGUCAUAAGACGCACCGGCUAACUACGUGCCAGCAGCCGCGGUAAUACGUAGGCUUCGAGCGUUAACCGGAAUUACUUGUCGUAAAGCGGGCGCAGGCGGUUGAUUAAGACAGGCGUGAAAUCCCCGGGCUUAACCUGGGAACUGCGCUUGUGACUGGUCAGCGAGAGUACGGCAGAGGGGGGUGGAAUUCCACGUGUAGCAGUGAAAUGCGUAGAGAUGUGGAGGAACACCGAUGGCGAAGGCAGCCCCCUGGGCCGAUACUGACGCUCAUGCACGAAAGCGUGGGUAGCAAACAGG